rnacentral:misc_RNA from 1 species
UCCGGCUUAACGCCGGCAGUCUCCCUAGAGUGCCCAACUGAAUGGUGGCAACUAAGGACGAGGGUUGCGCUCGUUGCGGGACUUAACCCAACACCUCACGGCACGAGCUGACGACAGCCAUGCACCACCUGUGAAGGUGCCCCGAAGGGAGACCGUGUUUCCACGGCUUCACCCCGCAUGUCAAGCCCUGGUAAGGUUCUUCGCGUUGCUUCGAAUUAAACCACAUGCUCCGCUGCUUGUGCGGGCCCCCGUCAAUUCCUUUGAGUUUCAGCCUUGCGGCCGUACUCCCCAGGCGGGGCACUUAACGCGUUAGCUGCGGCACCGAAGGGGUCGCUCCCCCCGGCACCUAGUGCCCAUCGUUUACGGCGUGGACUAC